GAGGGCAUAGCUCAGUGGUAGAGUGUGUGCUUAGUAUGCACAAGGUCCUGGGUUCAAUCCCCAGUACCUCCA
rnacentral:tRNA from 1 species